ensembl:ncRNA lncRNA:CR44986 long non-coding RNA:CR44986
AAAAGAAGAAAGUAUUUAUAAUCAAAAGUUUCUCGAUCAGUUUUAGUUAAUACACAUCCGUUAAAAUAAAACACAACCGUGCUUGAUUAACUGAAAAUUGCAAAAUUUAUUAAUUUUGGAGUUUUUGUACGUACUGCUCUUUGCCGAUUUGCAGCUGCCAAUUUUGAAUGUUAAAUGAGUUGGGAACACUUUUGGUUGGUUCAACAAUUAUGACACUCUUUGUUUUGGUUCGAUUAUCUAACACUUAAGCACUGUACACAUUGAAAAACACUUGCGAGAAUUAGAGGAAAAAGUAAUGCAGUUGACGUGGAACGAUUUUUCUGACUUUAUGCAUAUAUCUAUAUAAUGCCAGCUUUAUAGGCCUUGGUGAAGAUGACUGGUUGAUUUGAUCUAUGCGGGUAUAUAUAGUAUUUACAAUAUACAUUGACUGAUCUUGUUUGGGUGUAACACAGUUUAAAGUUUUGGCGACGGCAUGAUGGACGUAUCCCUAUAAAAAUAAUAUAAAAAGAAGAGAAGGAAACUAAUUUGUAAUGGAUGGAAAAUAAUAUUAUUUCGAUGGAUUAGUAGUGACUACGGGAUGUAACGAAAUAAAUGGCUGAAUAUAACUCUGAAAACGAAUGACGCUGAUGCAUGUGAAUCGGGAUUAUGAAUGAUUUCUUUGGGGAAUGUUAAACAUUCCCAAUAAUAUUUUUAAUUU